rnacentral:rRNA from 1 species
UAAGACGAACCGAGCGAACGUUGUUCGGAAUCACUGGGCUUAAAGGGCGCGUAGGCGGGUCUGCAAGUCUGUGGUGAAAUCCUCCGGCUCAACCGGAGAACUGCCUCGGAUACUGCGGGUCUCGAGGGUGAUAGGGGUAUGCGGAACUAUCGGUGGAGCGGUGAAAUGCGUUGAUAUCGAUAGGAACUCCGGUGGCGAAGGCGGCAUACUGGAUCACUUCUGACGCUGAGGCGCGAAAGCCAGGGGAGCAAACGGGAUUAGAUACCCCGGUAGUCCUGGCCCUAAACGAUGGGUACUAGCUAGUAGGGUUCACAUGGCUUUACUGGCGAAGCAAAAGUGCUAAGUACCCCGCCUGGGGAGUAUGGUCGCAAGGCUG